rnacentral:rRNA from 1 species
UACGUAGGUGGCAAGCGUUGUUCAGAAUUAUUGGGCGUAAAGAGCUCGUAGGCGGCUUGUCGCGUCGACUGUGAAAUCCCGCGGCUCAACCGCGGGUCUGCAGUCGAUACGGGCAGGCUAGAGUUCGGUAGGGGAGACUGGAAUUCCUGGUGUAGCGGUGAAAUGCGCAGAUAUCAGGAGGAACACCGGUGGCGAAGGCGGGUCUCUGGGCCGAUACUGACGCUGAGGAGCGAAAGCGUGGGGAGCGAACAGG